UAAAACCAUGCAGAGUAGAAGACUGUCUCUCCUGACGGAGGUCAGCAGGUCGUCAGCACCAGCCUGCUGGAAUCUGCAUGCCAGGUUUCCAUGGCAGCAGCCAGAAGAGAGUGCUGUUGCUGCUGUCCUUUCCAGCAGCCACGAGCAGCCUGGAGCCCUGGAGGCUGGCCGCAUCCGUGACCCAGCUCUCCCCUGUACUUAGCAGCCAACUGUGUGGGCUAUAGAGGAGUUUCAGGUGGAGAGGUGUCAGCUCCUAUCCCUGUUUCCUGGCCAAGAAUAAGCCC